GAUGAACGCUGGCGGCGUGCCUAAUACAUGCAAGUCGAGCGAACAGAUGAGGAGCUUGCUCCUCUGACGUUAGCGGCGGACGGGUGAGUAACACGUGGAUAACCUACCUAUAAGACUGGGAUAACUUCGGGAAACCGGAGCUAAUACCGGAUAAUAUAUUGAACCGCAUGGUUCAAUAGUGAAAGACGGUUUUGCUGUCACUUAUAGAUGGAUCCGCGCCGCAUUAGCUAGUUGGUAAGGUAACGGCUUACCAAGGCAACGAUGCGUAGCCGACCUGAGAGGGGGGCCGCCCACACUGGAACAAGAACAGGACCCAGCCCCCGACGGGGGGCGGAGGGGGGAAAUCUUCCGCAAGGGGCGAAGGCCGGACGGAGAACCGCGGGGGGAUGAAUAAAGGUCUUGGAACCUAAAACUCUUUUAAUGGGGGAAAAAAAAUUUGUAAAGAACUUGUCCACGUUUUGAGGGUACCUAAUAAGAAGCCCACGGCAAACUACGUG
rnacentral:rRNA from 1 species